GACGAACGCUGGCGGCGUGCUUAACACAUGCGAGUCGAACGGAAAGGCCUGCUUUCCCUUGUGGAUUGCGGGUACUCGAGUGGCGAACGGGUGAGUAACACGUGAGUGAUCUGCCCCCAACUUGGGUAUAAGCCUGGGAAACUGGGUCUAAUUCCCGAUAGGACUGCAGGGUGGUGCCUGUGGUGGAAAACGAUUUUCUAGUGGUUGGGGAUGAGCUCGCGGCCUAUCAGCUUGUUGGUGGGGUAAUGGCCUACCAAGGCGGCGACGGGUAGCCGGCCUGAGGGGGUGGACGGCCACAUUGGGACUGAGAUACGGCCCAGACUCCUACGGGAGGCAGCAGUGGGGAAUAUUGCACAAUGGGCGGAAGCCUGAUGCAGCGACGCCGCGUGGGGGAUGACGGCCUUCGGGUUGUAAACUCCUUUCGACCGCGAGGAAGCCACCUGGUUGGAGGGGUGGUGACGGUAGUGGUAGAAGAAGCACCGGCUAACUACGUG
rnacentral:rRNA from 1 species